AUGUGGCACAAGACCGGUAAUACCUUGCCGGUGAUGGUCAACGGCCGGCAGACGGGCAGCAAAAAGGUUCUGGCGCUGCACACCAACAAGAACUUCGACCAGCAGAGGACCAACUGGGUGAUGCACCAGUACCAUCUCGGGGACCUGGAGCAAGAGAAGGAGCGGGAGCUGGUUCUCUACAAGAUUUUCUACCAGACGAACACUAGGGCCAGGAGUCGAGCAAGUUUUAACUGGGCUGUAGACUGCCCAGGCUUGGUUUUGUUUUUAACAGGCCCAACCCAUGACGACAACUAG
rnacentral:rRNA from 1 species